GAGGCCAAGCCGCCGCCGCCGCCGCCUUCGGGCUUUGGCGCUCGUCCCGCCACUACACCGCCUACUACCGCCUACUCGAGCUCGUUGCCACUCUAACCGCUUCGUCUUGCUCGUCGCCGACUCCCACCAACGCGAGGCCGUCGGGCCCCUCAAUCCGCGCAUCCUCCUCGCCAUGUUUGGGACCGCACCGUCGCCGCCUCCUCUGCCCUCCUUCGUCGCCCCUCCUUCCUUGCCUAGUCGGCGGGAGGGAGAAGAGGGGAGGAGCGACCGCGCGAAGAAGCAGGCUCUGCUGUUGCUGCUCUUAUCUGAAGGCAAUGGCCGUAAGCACUUGCUCAAUUGAUUGAUUUGCUGACCAAUUCGCUGCCAUUUCGAGGAGGAGGGCGCUGCUCUUCUGGGCAUGGGGGAUUUCUUGGAAUCAUCUUCGAUCUGGAGUUCUUUUCUUCUCCCUCCCCCAAUGGUUAAUCGAGUUGUCAAAUCUUGCUUGCAGCUGGGGAGACGGAUUGCGUCUACAUGGAAGAGAUUUCUUGUUUGCCUCCUUGCAAGAGACAGCAGAACAGAACGUAUAUGCUUUCAAAGAACAGUGGCAAGAGAUUUCAGAAAACAGGAGAGAAGAUAAGAACUGAACAGAUUUCACAAUUCGGAGUUCAGAACCGAACGUUUUUACAACUCCUAUCUUUCUCGGCGGAGCCAGAAAUCAUGGAGUCAGGAGUGGAGUCAAGAAUUUGGAGGAGUGGAGGGCUACCGAACGGGUUCUUAAGCUUCCCUUCUCACUGCAACAUGCAUGGUGGCUAUGUACUUCUCGAUGACUCCUUAAAAGUUAAAACUGAUUAACACAGCCAGUAUAAUACAAAAAUGGAAUGUUGCUUCUUCACACUCAUAUUCGACACCUAUCCGGAAAAGAGGAGAAGAUCCAUGUACAAACGAAAGGCCGUCGAUAUAUCUAAAAUAUUUAUUUAGGGAAUAGAAUUAAACUCUCAAGAAAUAGAAAUUGUUGAUUAUUUUUUCAGGUCAGUUUGAUACAGGAAAGCAUCCAGAAAUAUCAAAGAAUGGUGACGAGUUUCCUCUAAACACUAUCGUAGUGAUAGAUCGGGGGUGAGUCUAGUUACGUACAAAAUUCAUAUGGAAAUUAUUUAUUGUUAAUUUGUGUAGGAAUCGAAUGGUUGUAUUUUUUUUCUCCAAGUGCCUGCCCCGGUUUAUUAAUUACCUGUUUAAUAGCUGACACCGAAGUUCAGGUGUUCAAGAAAA